UUUGUAGCCACCUUCUUGUUCCUUUACAUCACCGUCUUGACUGUCAUGGGUGUGUCUCAGUCUAAAACCAAAUGUGCAACCGUUGGUAUUCAAGGCAUUGCUUGGGCUUUUGGUGGCAUGAUCUUUGCUCUUGUUUACUGUACUGCCGGCAUUUCAGGUCAUCUUUCCCCUUCUUCUUUUUUUAUCUUGAUCUUGUUGAAGAUGACGAAGAUUUAGUGGUAAAAAGAUGUUUAAUAACCAGAUCUGGGUUUGUUUUUCAGGUGGUCAUAUUAACCCUGCUGUGACCUUUGGGUUGUUUCUAGCAAGGAAACUGUCACUUACAAGGGCAUUGUUCUAUAUGAUCAUGCAGUGCCUGGGUGCUAUCUGUGGAGCUGGUGUGGUGAAGGGAUUCCAAGGAGAUAACCGAUAUGAG
rnacentral:lncRNA from 1 species